GGUCCAUGAAUGGCCUAUCGACUCCUAUUUCUGGAGAUGCGUCGAUGUAAUAAGCAUUAUAUCAUUUUUGAGCAGCGACUCAAAAUAUAUGUUUGUGUACAUAUGCCUAACAGCAUUUGGUUUCACAUAUUGAUUCAUACCUCUCAUUUGAAAUUGGCAGGAUCCUGAAGAGCAAAUCGGCGUCGUAGACACGCAGUACGUGGUCCAUCGUGCAGUUCCCACGCUCCAAGGCGAGGGCAAUAAAGAAAAACCAGGAGGCCGUUUUGAGGUAAGAGCUCGUCAAUUUGAGGAGCUGGAGGCCUUUAACUCUAGGUUCGCCAAUGCCGACAAGGAAGUCGCCAACAGAUCGCCGUCGACACUGAAUUAGUUUAGAUAACUUAAUACAAGAGGAUAAACCAUUGUUUGCAAAAUUUUGAAGUAUGUAAUUACUAUUUUCAUC